rnacentral:tRNA from 2 species
ACUUAGAUAGUUUAAUUGGUUAAAACUUAUGUCUCAUAUACAUAUAAUGUAGGUUCAAUACCUUCUCUAAGUA